rnacentral:rRNA from 1 species
UGGGGAAUAUUGGACAAUGGGCGAAAGCCUGAUCCAGCCAUGCCGCGUGUGUGAAGAAGGUCUUCGGAUUGUAAAGCACUUUAAGUUGGGAGGAAAGGCAGUAAGCGAAUACCUUGCUGUUUUGACGUUACCGACAGAAUAAGCACCGGCUAACUCUGUGCCAGCAGCCGCGGUAAUACAGAGGGUGCAAGCGUUAAUCGGAAUUACUGGGCGUAAAGCGCGCGUAGGUGGUUCGUUAAGUUGAAUGUGAAAGCCCCGGGCUCAACCUGGGAACUGCAUCCAAAACUGGCGAGCUAGAGUAGGGCAGAGGGUGGUGGAAUUUCCUGUGUAGCGGUGAAAUGCGUAGAUAUAGGAAGGAACACCAGUGGCGAAGGCGACCACCUGGGCUCAUACUGACACUGAGGUGCGAAAGCGUGGGGAGCAAACAGG